rnacentral:rRNA from 1 species
UACGAAGGUGGCAAGCGUUGUUCGGAUUUAUUGGGCGUAAAGGGCGCGUAGGCGGUUGGUUAAGUCCUCCGUGAAAUCUCCAGGCUUAACCUGGAAAGUGCAGAGGGGACGGUUCAGCUAGAGGAUGGGAGAGGAGCGCGGAAUUCCCGGUGUAGCGGUGAAAUGCGUAGAGAUCGGGAGGAAGGCCGGUGGCGAAGGCGGCGCUCUGGAACAUUUCUGACGCUGAGGCUCGAAAGCGUGGGGAGCAAACAGG